rnacentral:rRNA from 1 species
AGAGUUUGAUCAUGGCUCAGAUUGAACGCUGGCGGCAGGCCUAACACAUGCAAGUCGAGCGGAUGAAGGGAGCUUGCUCCUGGAUUCAGCGGCGGACGGGUGAGUAAUGCCUAGGAAUCUGCCUGGUAGUGGGGGAUAACGUCCGGAAACGGGCGCUAAUACCGCAUACGUCCUGAGGGAGAAAGUGGGGGAUCUUCGGACCUCACGCUAUCAGAUGAGCCUAGGUCGGAUUAGCUAGUUGGUGGGGUAAAGGCCUACCAAGGCGACGAUCCGUAACUGGUCUGAGAGGAUGAUCAGUCACACUGGAACUGAGACACGGUCCAGACUCCUACGGGAGGCAGCAGUGGGGAAUAUUGGACAAUGGGCGAAAGCCUGAUCCAGCCAUGCCGCGUGUGUGAAGAAGGUCUUCGGAUUGUAAAGCACUUUAAGUUGGGAGGAAGGGCAGUAAGUUAAUACCUUGCUGUUUUGACGUUACCAACAGAAUAAGCACCGGCUAACUUCGUGCCAGCAGCCGCGGUAAUACGAAGGGUGCAAGCGUUAAUCGGAAUUACUGGGCGUAAAGCGCGCGUAGGUGGUUCAGCAAGUUGGAUGUGAAAUCCCCGGGCUCAACCUGGGAACUGCAUCCAAAACUACUGAGCUAGAGUACGGUAGAGGGUGGUGGAAUUUCCUGUGUAGCGGUGAAAUGCGUAGAUAUAGGAAGGAACACCAGUGGCGAAGGCGACCACCUGGACUGAUACUGACACUGAGGUGCGAAAGCGUGGGGAAAACAGGAUUAGAUACCCUGGUAGUCCACGCCGUAAACGAUGUCGACUAGCCGUUGGGAUCCUUGAGAUCUUAGUGGCGCAGCUAACGCGAUAAGUCGACCGCCUGGGGAGUACGGCCGCAAGGUUAAAACUCAAAUGAAUUGACGGGGGCCCGCACAAGCGGUGGAGCAUGUGGUUUAAUUCGAAGCAACGCGAAGAACCUUACCUGGCCUUGACAUGCUGAGAACUUUCCAGAGAUGGAUUGGUGCCUUCGGGAACUCAGACACAGGUGCUGCAUGGCUGUCGUCAGCUCGUGUCGUGAGAUGUUGGGUUAAGUCCCGUAACGAGCGCAACCCUUGUCCUUAGUUACCAGCACCUCGGGUGGGCACUCUAAGGAGACUGCCGGUGACAAACCGGAGGAAGGUGGGGAUGACGUCAAGUCAUCAUGGCCCUUACGGCCAGGGCUACACACGUGCUACAAUGGUCGGUACAAAGGGUUGCCAAGCCGCGAGGUGGAGCUAAUCCCAUAAAACCGAUCGUAGUCCGGAUCACAGUCUGCAACUCGACUGCGUGAAGUCGGAAUCGCUAGUAAUCGUGAAUCAGAAUGUCACGGUGAAUACGUUCCCGGGCCUUGUACACACCGCCCGUCACACCAUGGGAGUGGGUUGCUCCAGAAGUAGCUAGUCUAACCGCAAGGGGGACGGUUACCACGGAGUGAUUCAUGACUGGGGUGAAGUCGUAACAAGGUAGCCGUAGGGGAACCUGCGGCUG